rnacentral:lncRNA from 1 species
UUUUUUAAAAUUACUUUUAUUUUUUUAUCUUCAAUACCUUCGCUGGAACAAGAACCAACAUAUAAGCAACUACUUUGGUCACUUGAGUAAUUCUCCUUGGCAGAAGUAGGAUUUGCAAUUUCAGUGGCUUCUAAUUAGCCAACACGAGACGUAACACUCCUUCCUGCACAUGGGAUGGAGAAGAAAAGGAGUUCUAAAAAUUUCCUGCAGCAGAUAAAUACAGUAAAAGAACUCCAUUAUCUUCUUGUGUCUUCUCCUUCUCAAACUCCACCAAGAACAAAGGAAAAUCUAAUUGAGAAAAAAUGGAGAGUAACUUAACAAUGUAUCAAGCUAAGAAAUAGCACAUUUAACAUCUAAAUUUUCACGAAUUCAAAUACCAAAAAAAUAAAAUUGAACAAAUUUAAACAAGAUAAUCACACAAAAUACACCGAAUUGAAGAGAAAUUAACCAUUAGAAACUCAGUCACACAAAAUUGAAAAAAUUCAGAUAAGCUAAUUAUCAAAAAUGUAUUGGAUCGAAGAAAAAUUAAGUAGCAGAAAUUUAAAAUAAAAAAUGUAUUUAGCAAAAAAUUUAGGUGAGAAAUGAAAGUAACAAAGCAUCCAGAUGAAUAAUAACACCUUUUAUAGCUUAAAUAGAUGGCAGGUGAAGGAAUGAGGAAAAAGAAAAAAGAGAAAAAAAUGAAAUUAUUAGGAAGAAAAAGUGUGGAAGAAGGAGAAAGAGAUUUUUUUUUACAAAAAAGCUCUUUAAAUGUGCUCAAAAGUCGUGUAUUAUACGUCCUAUGCCCAGUUAGCAAAAGUAUCAAAAUAACAAUUGGAGACUGAUUUAGGUGUUUAAAAUGAACAACAUCUACUUUAGGUGUUAAAGUGAAAGUUUAUGGUAAGUUUAAAGACCCGGCAAUGUGUUUGACAUUUAAUUAAUAUAAUCUUAUUUGAUGUUUAUGCCUUUCAACUUUGGAUACGUAUAAAUAGAUACUUAAAUUUGUAUAAAGUUGAAAAGGUAGACAUAAUGAAAAUUUACGUCUUACAUAUAUUAUGUCACUUAAGACACGUGUCUAUACAAGUUUAAUUGCUUAUUAUGCACAUUCAAAAUUGAAGAAUAUAAAUGUCAGCCGAGACCAAGUCAAAGAGUAUGUUUAUGUAUUAGGCCAAAUCCACCGAUAGCCCCGUAAACUUGGCACGAUCUUUCACUUUGGCACCUUAACUAGACGUUGUUCACUUUUGACACCUCAAGUAGCCAUAAACUGUGUCAAUUUGGCACCUUUGGCUGAUUUAGCAAAGAGAGUGUAUUACACUCGCUUUUGGACGCGUUUCAGGGUUAUUUUCAUAAUUUUUUAGGGGCAUUUUUGUAAUUUUUCAUCUUUAAUUUUUUUUUAAAAAUUAUACAUAAAGGGUGUGUUUGGUAUGAAGGAAAAUGUUUUCCUGGAAAACAAGUUGAUUUUUUACUUGUUUUCUUAUAUUUGGUUAGUGGAUGGAAAUAUUUUUCAAAAAAUAUUUUCUAGUAUUUGGUUGGUGAAUGAAAAAAUAUUUUUCAAAAAAUACAUUUUAGUGUUUAGCUAAAGCGUAAAAAUACAUUUUAGAAUCAUUUUUUAAAAAAUAAAUUAAAAAAAAUUAAAGCUUUUUUGGGGAAGGGGAUUGGUAGGUGGGUGGGUGGGGGUGUCAGAAUAGGUAGUAGGGGUGGGGUAAGAAAAAUUUUUAAAUUUGUUUUAUUAAAAAGAAAUUUAAAAAUUGACGGGGGGAGGGGGGUUAGUAGGAGCUGGGGAUCAGGGAAGUGAGGAGGAAGGGGGAAGAAAAAAAUUAUUUUUUUAAAAAAAUAAAUUUAAUUUUUUUUUUAGGUUGUUGGGAGGGGAAGGGAUGGGAUAGGGGGCUGGUAAGGGGGAUGUUGGGUAGUGGAAAAUCAUCUUUCGGACUGGCUUUGUUCAAAUCAUGGUAAUCAACACACACUCGAAUUUUGCCAUCUUUCUUCGGUAUGGGAACAACAUUGGAUAACCACAUGGGAUAGCGAGCUACUCGAAUUACUUUGGCUUCAAGUUGCUUCAUGAUUUUCUCUUUAAUUUUAAUACUUACAUCUGUUUUAAACUUCCUCAACUUCUGUUUGACAGGAGGGAACGCGGGAUCAGUUGGCAAUUUGAAUGAAUAUGUAUCUUUUUGUUUUGUUAUUGUGGUGUUAAAAUUUCAGUCUCAUUCAAUAUUUUUAUUUUUAUUUCUUUAGUUAUCAUCCUCUAUGAAUUUUAAAGACUACGAGAAUAAAAACUUUAAAGUACUAUAUUUAAGUAAAUACUUAACUGGACUGCGUAAAGUGAAAUAUUUGAUUGGGUAGUGCAAGUUGAUAAAGUGUUUUUUUAAUAUAAACAAAUCAUUCUAUUUGUGCACUAUUUGCAGGUUUUGAAAAUAAUAUAUAUAUAUAUUCCUUGAUGUAAUUUCAUUAUUUUCUUUUUACAUGUAGUUUGUUUAAUGAAUAAAAUUUAAAUGGUAAAAUUAAUAUUUUGAUCUCAAUAUUUUCUAUUUAUAACUUUAAUCUGUUUAAAUGUGCAAAUCUCUCUGAAUAUAUAUAUAUAUAUAUAUAUUUUCCUAUAUAUAUAUAUAUAUAGGAAGGAUAUGAGACUGUUGAUGUGACGUGCUUCUAAAGCUACCAUUCUCAUUUAUCUUUUUUGUGAUUAUUUUAACCUUUUUUAUUUUAAUUAUUUUACUGAGCGUUAAUUAAACAUAAUAGCCACAAUUAAUGGCUAUUAUUUGCAUUAAAGUUCAAAACGUUCACUACAUUAUUACCAUUAUUUAACUUUUUCAACUAUUAAAAUUAGAUGAAUAGGUAUACAUACUUUUUCCUCUUUAUGGUUGUUGUCCGUUUUUCAUAUUGCAAAGAUACACUUUUAUUGACCAUAAUUGAGUCAAUCAAUAUUGUCCAUUAUGAUCCUUGAAUUAUCAUAAUAAUAGUGACUUAAUUCUUCUUCUUAUGAUCAUCUUUUUUUUUUCUCUCUAUAAUGUUGCAUAUUUUGUCAAAAUAUAGGUUAAUUCUAAAAUUGAUAUCAAUUUUUACUCUUCAUUUCUCAAAUCUUGUGCGUAGCAUUUGAUUUAGUGCAUCGAACUCUCUUUUUAAUGUUUUGCUUACAUAAAUUAUUGAUUGUACAAUACCAAUCGACAUUAUCUUUAUAGACGAGAAUGUACCCUCGCGGUCACUCUUCGAUCCCAAUAUUUAGCCAAAAAAUGGCUUAUAAAUUUUAUUAAUAAUUUUAUAAAAUUACUACGCGAAGCACGGUUAAAUUUACUAGUUCCCUAUAAUCUUGGAUUAGUGUGCGAUUAAUGUUACUUUUAGUUUAACUUAACAAGGAUGGUACGAAAGCUUCUAGAAAUUAACUUGCUAAAAUCAUCUUUCUCCGUCAACUACCCCAACUCCGCCGUCAAAAAUCCGAACUCUGCCGACCUCCGCCAUUAUCGGAGACUGUACACAAAUUGUAAUACAAAAGAACAGCUGGGUAGUGCAAUGGCUUCCUUUAAAUCAAAGCUAUUUUAUGCAUCCAAUUGCUAGCUUUCCUUAUCGGAGUUUACAGAGAGUUCGAUUACUUUAAGUUAUCUCUUUUACGGCCUGGUACGGCUUGCCGAAAUACUACUCGAUGUUGCUCUUCCAAUGCCUGUUGCCGGUACAAAGCGGGGGCAGGGGGAGUGUUUGCAGAAGAGGGGAAGAAGAUGAUUGGGGUAGGGGGAGGGGGCGGGGUGUUUGCAGAAGAGAAAGGGGGAAGAAAAUGAUUGGGGGGAAUGGGGUGCGGAGUGUUUGAAGAAGAUGACCGGCGAGGUGGGUGGGUUAGAGGGAGGAGUUAUUUUUUAAAAAAUAUUUGGAUAAAAAAUGACUAAUGUCUUAUUAUUAUUGGUCACUUUACACGUCAGCACGCAUGUAAUACACAUAUCCAAUAUAUUUUUAUGAAUUGUAUAUAAAGUGCCAAAAUGACACAUACGUACACUACAUGAGGUGUCAAAAGUGAACAACGUUCACUUGAGCUGCCAAAGUGAAAGAUGAUGCCCAGUUGAAGGGUCUGUCGAUGUAUUUUGCCUUACAUUGGUACUCUACUAUAUUAUUUCCUCCGUUUAAAGAUAAUUGAAUUGUUGGAAUAUGAAACACAUUUUAAGAAAAAAAGGCAAAGAUAUAAAUUAGUCAUGUUUUUUUAUUUUUGCCCUUUUCAAACUCCAAAACAUUAGUAAUGAUCAUUAGAAUUCAUCCUUAAAAAUUUAAUUAAUGAAGGGUAAAUUUGAAAAAAGUUUCCAACAUCUAUCUUGAAUAAUGAACAAUUCAAUUAUUUUGAAUACUAAAAAAUACUCCAACAAUUCAAUUAUUUUAGAACGGAGGGAGUAAUACAUAAAGCCAAGUAUUCGAUAGACCCUUAAAAUUAUUUUGAGAGUUCACUUAGAUACAUCGAUUGAUCCUCUUUCCUAUUAGACACUAUAAUAUUAACAAAUAAAUAUCUAUUAAACAUUCUUCUGAUAAUUAGUAAAAGAAAGAAGUAUCUGUAACCUACGCGCAAAUGAUGUGGCAAAGUCACAAAUCAAAGAGAAAAGACAUAAAGACAUCAUUGAAGUUGUCCCAAAUUUUUAAAAAGACACUUAAAAUUUACGGGCAUUCUAUUACCUCCUAAACAAUUUUGAAAUAUAUUAAUAUAUCUUUUUGAAAUCAAUCCCAAUUUUUUUAAAAAAAGUGCUAAACGCGCACCAAUCACUGAUUGACACAUGUUAAUUUAUUUAUAAAUAUAUUUUUAUUUUUCUCUUUUUAUUUUUUCUCUCUCUUAUUCUUUAACUUUUUUCCUUCUCUCUUACCCAAUUUCCUUCCUCCACGCCAGUCAAUACCCUCACCUCCAAAUUCCACACACAUUCUUGUUCUUUUCUUCCUCAAUUGAUUCCAUUUCUUUCGUUCCACAGUCCAAACCUACCAUAAUCAACCUUUAAACUUAAAAAUAAUAACCACUUUAUUUAUUUUGUGUGUGUAAUUAUAAUUGUAGUGAGUUUAGAAAAUUAAGAUUGAACAUAAUUUUUUAAAUUUAUUUUGUUAGUUAUUUUUUAUCCUUCAAUUUCAUACGAAAAUCAAUGAUUUUUAUAAUUAUUUAUGAUUUCUUUUAUUAAAAUUUUUAGCUCACUUAAACAUUAAUUUCUUCCACCAUUAUAAUUCAGCAAUCUGACAAAAUUUUAUCACUUUUUAGGCGUCAAAAAAUACCUUUUCGUCAGAAAAAUGAUGGCUAACAUACCAUGUCCUUUUUUAAGUAUCUUUAUCAUUUUUAUUGAAAAAUAAACAUCGAUCACGAUAAAAUUUAUCAUCGCUCCAUUAAUGAAGAGGAAGAGAAAGUAAAAAAACAAGACACCAUUGAUGGAGAAAAGGGAAGAAACAAAAGCAAAAAAAUAGAAAAGGAGAAAAAAAAUACUAAAAUAUAAAAAGAAAAAAGUGAAACCUUUUUAUUACAUGUGGCAUUUUUUAAUUUGUUGGUUCAACAAUUUUUUUACUCACGUGCGUCUCUUGCGUGAUAAAAUAUAUAGGUUGAAAAUUUAGUCAAAAUGAUCUAUUUAUAAUAAUUUUUAUAACUUUUGUGGGUAAUAGAUCUCCUGUAAAAUUAAGGUGUCUUUUUAAAAAUCUCAGAUAAAUUUGAUGGUGACUUUAUGUCUAUUCUCUAAAUCAAAUGAAGACAUAUAUGGAUUUUUAGACUUAAAAUAAUUAUAAAAAUAAAUUUUUAACGUAAAAUAAAUUCACCCUCACCCCCACCCCCACCCCCACCCCAAAAAAAGGAAAAUCCUAUUUAUACAACCCCUCCCCCCUCUCCCGCAGACCACCAGCCCCUUUUAUUCUCCUGAAAAUCACCAUUAUUGUCAUCCUCAUUCUUCUUAUUCUCCCUUAAUAAUUUUUCUUUUUUGAUAAAAUUUUGUGUGAUUGAAUAAUCUUCACCAAAUGUAAUCUCCCGCAGACCACCAGCCCCUUUUAUUCUCCUGAAAAUCACCAUUAUUGUCAUCCUCAUUCUUCUUAUUCUCCCUUAAUAAUUUUUCUUUUUUGAUAAAAUUUUGUGUGAUUGAAUAAUCUUCACCAAAUGUAAAGUUAGGUAAAAUAAAAUUUUUGAUAUUAAUAACGUCAAGAAAUUACAUCCACAAGUUCGUCGUUCUCAUCACUUCUUAAUUAAUGUUUAAGUCUGUAUUUUACGAUGAAAAUGAAAUUGAUUGUUAAAUCGAUUCUUAUCAGCUUCAUUGUUUGAAGCUCUUGAUUUUGGCAAAAGACAGGCAUCAAGAAAAAAUUUAAGAGUAACUUCUUUCGGACAUGAACAAAAAAAUUAUUACGAGAAGGUAUAUUGUAAAUAUUUGAUAUGGAGUGAUGAACUUAUGGUGGUGAAGUGGUACAUCAUUUCACCUUUGAAUUUAUCCGCAUAAAUCACUUAUAUCCUUAACUUCACGGGCAAUUAUAUACCUCUCUUAACAACUUUAAAUUAAAUUAAAUUUCACCCUAAGACUGUAAUAUCAGUCUCACUACGAAAGGUGUAUCACACAUACAACCACAUCAGUGCCACAUCAUUGCUACGUCAAAAAAUAUUUUAAUUUUAAUUUUUUCCUUCCCCUCUCUUUUUUCCAUAAAGGUACCCUCCAUCUCCAUUAAUGUCUUCUCUAUUGAUUAACUUCAUUUUUUGCUAAUUAAAGAAAUAAAAUUUGACCUUAAAAAUUUUUAAUUUUUAUAAAAUACAACUCCAUUUUAUUUUUAUUAUUGAGUUUGAUUUCUCUAAUUUAUUUGAGAAAAAAAUAAUUAAAAAAUAAAAAAUGAAACUAGAAGAAGAAGGAAUGGAGGGUGUUUGAAGAAGAAGAAGAAGACUGGGGUGUAUGGAUUUGAACGAGAAGAUUGAGAUUUUUGAAGAUAAAGAAGAGGAUGGGGAUGGGUGGAUUUGAAGAAGAUGAAAGAGGGUGGGUAGGGAGUAAUUUUUAUUUUUUUAUAAUUAUAUAAUAAUUUUAUUAAUGGUUGAAUUAUCUUUUUUUUUUUUUUCAAAUUAUGCGCUUUCAGUUUUUGUUUAUGCCACAUUAGCUUUAGGGGUGAAAUUUAUUCAUUCGAAAGUUGUUAAGAAAAUAUAUAAUUGUCGGUGAAGUUAAAGGUCUAAAGUAAGUCGUGCGGACAAAUUUAAGGGUGAAAUGAAUUAUUUUUUCAAAGAAAAUAAUAAUAAAGGUGUUUAAAUAUUGAUUCACACGCGUACUAAGGUGUGAAUCACACUUUUUACGCCAGAUAUGCAUAAAGGGCUCAAGUGGUUCAAAUUUGAAGUGAUAAGAGUGUUCAAUAGGUACAUAGGUCAGUUAAAGGAUCCAAGUGAAAUCUCAAAAUAAGUUUAAGGGCGUGUCGAUGACUUAAACCAUCGAUAAACAUGUCUUUUUAAUUAAGUUCAAACAAAUCAUCAUGCUCUUACAUUUGGCCCGAAUUUUUAUUUUAAUACUUAAUAUAGACAUUGUUCAUUUUAAAUACCUAAAUCAACCUCCAACUGUGUUAUUUUGACACUUUAAAUUCAUAUGCAACAGGUGAAAUUUUUUUUUUUUCUUUUUUUUUUAAAAUUACUUUUAUUUUUUUAUCUUCAAUACCUUCGCUGGAACAAGAACCAACAUAUAAGCAACUACUUUGGUCACUUGAGUAAUUCUCCUUGGCAGAAGUAGGAUUUGCAAUUUCAGUGGCUUCUAAUUAGCCAACACGAGACGUAACACUCCUUCCUGCACAUGGGAUGGAGAAGAAAAGGAGUUCUAAAAAUUUCCUGCAGCAGAUAAAUACAGUAAAAGAACUCCAUUAUCUUCUUGUGUCUUCUCCUUCUCAAACUCCACCAAGAACAAAGGAAAAUCUAAUUGAGAAAAAAUGGAGAGUAACUUAACAAUGUAUCAAGCUAAGAAAUAGCACAUUUAACAUCUAAAUUUUCACGAAUUCAAAUACCAAAAAAAUAAAAUUGAACAAAUUUAAACAAGAUAAUCACACAAAAUACACCGAAUUGAAGAGAAAUUAACCAUUAGAAACUCAGUCACACAAAAUUGAAAAAAUUCAGAUAAGCUAAUUAUCAAAAAUGUAUUGGAUCGAAGAAAAAUUAAGUAGCAGAAAUUUAAAAUAAAAAAUGUAUUUAGCAAAAAAUUUAGGUGAGAAAUGAAAGUAACAAAGCAUCCAGAUGAAUAAUAACACCUUUUAUAGCUUAAAUAGAUGGCAGGUGAAGGAAUGAGGAAAAAGAAAAAAGAGAAAAAAAUGAAAUUAUUAGGAAGAAAAAGUGUGGAAGAAGGAGAAAGAGAUUUUUUU